GAUGAAGAACGUAGCGAAAUGCGAUAAGUAAUGUGAAUUGCAGAAUUCAGUGAAUCAUCGAAUCUUUGAACGCACAUUGCGCCCGCUGGUAUUCCGGCGGGCAUGCCUGUUCGAGCGUCAUUUCAACCCUCAAGCUCUCCGGAGUUUGGUGUUGGGGCGCCUGGGGCUUUUCGACCUCAGGGCCCUCAAGUCCAUCGGCGGGACCGCCAGGACACUGAGCGCAGUAGUAUUAUCUCGCUCGGUAGGAUCUUCCACGGCGGGUCGAUCUGGCCGCUAAACCCCCCAAUUCUCACCAAAGGUUGACCUCGGAUCAGGUAGGAAUACCCGCUGAACUUAAGCAUAUCAAUAAGCGGAGGA
rnacentral:misc_RNA from 1 species